rnacentral:rRNA from 1 species
UACGUAGGUGGCAAGCGUUGUCCGGAAUUACUGGGUGUAAAGGGCGUGUAGGCGGGGAUGCAAGUCAGAUGUGAAAUUCCGGGGCUCAACCCCGGCACUGCAUCUGAAACUGUGUCUCUUGAGUGCUGGAGAGGAAAGCGGAAUUCCUAGUGUAGCGGUGAAAUGCGUAGAUAUUAGGAGGAACACCAGUGGCGAAGGCGGCUUUCUGGACAGUAACUGACGCUGAGGCGCGAAAGACGUGGGGAGGCAAACAGGAUUAGAUA